CGGAGAGGGAGCAUGAGAAACGGCUACCACUUCUAAGGAAGGCAGCAGGCGCGCAAAUUACCCAAUCCUGACUCAGGGAGGUAGUGACAAGAAAUAACAACAAACCGGCUUAUGCCGGUUUAAUUGGAAUGAGUACAAUUUAAACAUCUUAACGAGGAACAAUUGGAGGGCAAGUCUGGUGCCAGCAGCCGCGGUAAUUCCAGCUCCAAUAGCGUAUACUAAAGUUGUUGCAGUUAAAAAGCUCGUAGUUGGAUUUCUGCGGGGACGGAGCGGCCGGACGCAACUUGCGUCUCGAGCUAGCGCUUUCCCCGCAUCCUGCCGCGAACCGUGCUACCAUUAGUUUGGUGGCGCUGGGGAUCGGCUCGAUUACUUUGAGAAAAAUAGAGUGUUCAAAGCAGGCCACACGCCUUGAAUAAGUUAGCAUGGAAUAAUGACUAAGGACUUUGGUUCUUUUCGUUGGUGUUCGGGACUGAAGUAAUGAUUGAUAGGGACAGUUGGGGCGGUCCGUAUUCCAAAGCGAGAGGUGAAAUUCUUAGACCUUCGGAAGACGAACAGCUGCGAAAGCGUUCCGCAAGGAUGUUCCCUUUGAUCAAGAACGAAAGUUGGGGGAUCGAAGACGAUCAGAUACCGUCGUAGUCUCAACUAUAAACUAUACCAGCUAGGGAUCGGCCAACGUUUAAUUAUUCGACUUGGUCGGCACCUUAUGAGAAAUCAAAGCAUCUGGGUUCCGGGGGGAGUAUGGUCGCAAGGCUGAAACUUAAAGGAAUUGACGGAAGGGCACCACCAGGCGUGGAGCCUGUGGCUUAAUUUGACUCAACACGGGAAAACUUACCAGGUCCAGACAUAGGAAGGAUUGACAGAUUGAUAGCUCUUUCUUGAUUCUGUGGGUGGUGGUGCAUGGCCGUUUUUAGUCGGUGAAGUGAUUUGUCUGCUUAAUUGCGUUAACGGACGAGACCCCAGCCUGCUAAAUAGCGCGGCCGAGCUUUGCUCGGUACGAGCUUCUUAGAGGGACCAUGAUGCGCGAUAGCACAAGGAAGUUUGGGGCAACAACAGGUCUGUGAUGCCCUUAGAUGUUCUGGGCCGCACACGGGCUACACUGGCGCCUGCAACGAGCAUAUCAGCUGGCCCGAGAGGGUCUUGGCUAAUCUUUGGAACCGGCGCCGUGCUUGGGAUUGACCAUUGCAAUUGUUGGUCAUGCAACGAGGAAUGCCUUGUAAACGCGAGUCAUCAGCUCGCAUUGAAUACGUCCCUGCCCUUUGUACACACCGCCCGUCGCUCCUACCGAUGAAUGUUCCGAUGAAAUUUUCGGAGAGCGCCGGAGAACGGGGCUCUGCCCUGCAGAACUGGAGGCUCAAAGUCACUUAAAUCUGAACAUUUCGAGGAAGGAGAAGUCGUAACAAGGUAACC
rnacentral:rRNA from 1 species